GGGGAUUUAGCUCAGUGGUAGAGCGCUUGCCUAGCAAGCGAAAGGCCCUGGGUUCGGUCCUCAGCUCCA
rnacentral:tRNA from 1 species